CUGGAAUCUGGAAACAGCAGAUGAGACCCACGCUGCAUUCACAUGAAGAUGUGCUGCCCUGUGGCUCCCACUCAAGUCUGCAGACAGUCUCUGAAUGGCAGGACCACAGGCAAACACAGGGCAGCCGGGAGUCCAGGCCAAGAAGGAAGAGCCAUUGAUCCAAGUCCCUGGGCCCCCAGCCAUGAACCAAAGUUUUAUGUUCUGCGUGAUGCAAAUGAAGAAAGUGGCAUUCAUCCCAGGCAGGCCCCGGAAAGAUUGUGAGGCAGACUCUGGCAAAGAGAAACGGACAGAGAGAUCAGACUUCCACGACAAAUGUAAACACCUGCCACGCAGCAGCCGUCUCCAUCUGGAAGAACAAGAGCGCAUCCCACAUCGAAAGUGUCUUCUUUGGUAUUAAUAGUCUAAUGAUCGCAACCAAAGGCUAAAAAUAAGAACAACAUCUACCAUUAAACUAUAGACAUUUAUAAGCA